UAAAGGCUUCUGGAAUGCUGUGUUUCAUGAUCAUCAGAAUCAUGCAAUUUGAACGAUCCACCUCUCAAAGUCCCUCUUAAUAUCAGGGGUGCUUUCCGUAGUGAGAGGUGCAGGUUGUUCUUCCCUUAGUGCAAGGUCUAUGUCCAUAGAGCCAAGCACUAUAAGUAAGUGCCUUUUCCACUCUUUAAAAUUAGUUCCAUUAAGCAUGAGUAUAGAAUUUAUAUUAGCAGAUAUUGUGGCAGCAGAAGAUGAAUUAGCUGAAUAGAGAACAAAAACAAGCUUAAAUCAAUAUUCACAAGUAAACAAUAAAUUCAAGAUAAUGGCUACUCCCAUCUCAAGAUACCAAACUCUACAUUAAUAUAAAGUCUUUGGACAGUAAUAUUAACAGUAAGCGGUACUCUUGUUGUAGCAAUCAAAUUAACAUUAACAAUAAACUAUGUCAAGCAAUGAAUUAAUCUUUGGACUAACUUAUUACUCAUAUAAAAUACCUUAUAAUUGUCACACAUUUAUCACCACAGAUGUCGUUGUAAUUCUGCCAAAUAUUAACUUACCUUUGGGUCAAUCAAUAAACGCAUGAAUUACAAAAACAUAUAACCAUCUUAAUAUUUCAAAUAAACUAACCUACACAAAAGAGGUCACUUUGGCGGCAUUUUGUUUCAACUAAUUUAUUUAAAAUAUUAGUCAUCCUUAAUUAAAAGCCAAAAUCUGAAUUUAUUUUUUCCAAAAUAUUUACCUUAAUUUCAUCUUUCAAUCAAAUUAAAAGAUAAAACAUAUAUAUGUAUAUAUAUAAUUUUCCAAAACAUUAAACCAAUCAAAGCAUGCAUAUAUUAUAUAUUUAUAUAAACAAACAAAAAACAUAUAUAUGAAUCAAUUUCUAUAUAUAUAUUUAUAUAUAUAUUUAAAUGUCAUAUGGAUUAAAAUAAUAAUAAUCACAUGCCUUGCAAAUACACAGGAACUGAAUCACAAUAUUUUCAAAUAAAGCUUAAAAACGUAGGUAUCAAAUAAUAUUACACAAAUAUUUUAAACUUUAUAAUUGAAUCUAUUAAUUUGAAAAUCACCCAAUUUUUUUUUAAUAUAUGAAUUCAAGAUAAUAAAAAACUUUAAUAUAAAUCUUCAAAAAACAACAUAUAUAUCCGAAAUAUAAAACCCAUGAAAUUUCAUGAAUCAAUUAUUCAAAUGAAGAACCUGAAUCAAUUCCCAAUGAUUCGAUAUGACGAGGCUCGGAUGCCACUUGUUAGAAUUUAUAAAAUAAAUCUACAAUAUAACUUAAUAAACCAGGAUCUAUCAUGUCAAAUCAUUAAGAAUAAAUUAAGAACAAAACUAGAUGCGGAAGCGUACCUGAAUCCAUGGAUUCCUUGAAACUUUCUGGAAUUUGGGAAUUUGACCUUCCAAAUUAGCACACAAAAAAUUCAGAGAAUAUCUGCUCUCUCUUUCCUAUCUUCUGUAUAAUUUGGAGACCAGAACCCUAAUAUUUAUAACCUUAGCAUAUUAAUUCUAAUCAAAUUCUAAUUAGCUCAUCAUUAAUUAGAAUUUGAUUAGAAGAGUAUCUACACAUAUUUGACCCGUACUUUAUUUAAUAAUUAAAAAAACCUAAUAAAAUUCUAACCAAAUUAAAUCACUUUUAAUUUGAGCUAACCUAUCAUGAUAGUAAAUAAUAACAUGUAUUUAUUCUUAUUAUAUAUGUGAUAUCCAAAUUUUCCAACAUAUAAAUCCUGGGCACAUAGAAAACUUGAAAAAUUAAACAUAUAGUAAUAAAUAAUAUUAAAAUAUCUGAUACGUUUAUUACGCUCCUUUUAUAUCCCCCCCCCCCAAAUAUUGUAAAUGUGUCGUGUUUUCCGGGGAAGCAAUGAAGACGGGUACAAAGAAUGAUUUAUUUUGUCAUUGGGUCCCUAACAUGUUGCUAGGAGUUGUUCAUAUUUAAUUUUACGACAAUCUUAAUUUAUUGUCUUUAAUAUAAAUAACAAUAGCUGAUAAUAGGUUCAGCCCACUCUUUCAUGGUCCUCAUCUAAUAUUAGAAACUAGAUGAUCGAUCUAAGAAAAUGGAGGCUCUCUUGAAGCAUACAUAUAUGGUUACCAUUGUCCCUACACCAUUCUAUGUAUAGCGUAAAAAGCUGUAAAAAUUGUGAUGCAUCCUUGAUCAAUGCAACCUGUGGUCUUUGUUGGAGACGAUUUCUUCAAUAUCUUACGUGUUGUACAAAUUUAAUGACUCAAUUAUGCUUUCAACCCAAAUGCAAAUCAAUGGGUUCAUAGUUAUUCGUGUUCUCUGGAUUUAUUAGAAUUCUUUACACCAUCUUGAAUUGUUGUAAUACUUGAUCUGACUAAAGCCACUCAAUGCAAAAAAAAAAAAAAAACAUAUAAUGGUUUGCAUAUAGUAAAAACACAACUCUGCACACGUAACUCUGACAGUAGUAUGAUAGCAGUCUCUUUUGCUUGGUAUGACAUCUAAAAAAAUUUUCAAACAAAAAUAUUGAAUUUAAAUUCCAUUAUCAAAUGAUAUUACUUGAUGUAAUUGAACUCUAACUAGUAGAACACAAUUAAUCGAAACAUUGGAUUCCCUAUCAAUUGUUUCUAACAUCUAUGCCAAACUAUCCUUCUAGUAUGUCAUAUGGUUACAUUGCUUGGACCACCAGUUAAAUUAUAAAAUGUUUGUACAAAUAUAAAAUAUUUAGAAAGUAAUGGAUUUUAAGGUUUAAGGUUUUAUUUUUACCAUCAACUUAGAGGGAACUGAGAGGUUUAGAAGGUAUAGAUGCAAUGAGCGAAAGUUGAUAUUAUCCUCACAAUUGUAAAAUCACAAGGCAACCAUUAGCUUCCUUAUUCCCUACUCUACACCCUUUGCACAACACCUUGUAUAAGCAAGCCAAAAUGACAAAGCUCAACCAUAUGUACUAGGCGUCCAAAAAUUUUAUAACUACGGGAGGUACAUGGUAUGAAUUAAGUUGCCAAACUUUUUUUUCCACAUGCAUACUUUUGAUCAAGAGUAGAACGUAUGCUCAAGCAUAUAUGACAAUAAAUAUCAAUAGGCAUUGGUUUCUCCAAGAGAUGCUCAAAACUCUUUUUCAAUUAGUUUAACUUCACCUGAAGCUUUUCGAAAUCAGAUGGAAGAUUAUACCUUUUUAGAAUGUUUCAUAAAGGAUUUGCUUAGAUUGUGCUCAAAUCUGUCAAUUAUAGGAUGCUUGUCCAUUGAAAGUCUUGUCAGCAACACUAUAUCUUCUAACAUUAUUGUCGCUUCGUUGCAUGAGAGAUAAAACGUAUCAGUCUUUAAUCUCCAUCGUUCACUCAUAGUGAAUAAGAAUGAUGGAGCGUAAGCAACACUCCCAAACUGUCUUUCAUGAUAGAAAUCGACAUCCAUUAAUUGAUGAAUAAUUCUCGACAGUAUGUCUUUGUUCAAAUGUCAAUAAAUGGGUAGCCAUUCUGAUAUGGUUGAAAAUUAUCAUUUCCAAAUACUUGACUAUUUAGAGUUUAUGACAGAACAUAGAAAACUAUUUGUUUUGGUGUUUUAUGAUAAACUAACAAAUUCAAUUGCUUGUUUACAUGUUUUAAAAUUAAGGGGUUCUUAUAGAAAUUCAACAUUCAUCAGUGUUGACUUCAAUUUAUAUUUUCCUUAAAUUUUAAUCAUAUUACAUUAUCUUUUAAUUUUUUUUCCACAACUCAGAUAUUGUAGAAGAUAUCAAGUUCAUGGUACUUAAAAAUUGAAUAUUACACCUUCAACUUGACACUAUCAAUUGAUUAUAUCAUGAUACAGAUCCUAAUUUUAAGGGCACAUGAAAAACUUCAAGGCGUUCAUACGAAAACUACUUUCGUACAAACAUAUAUUAAUAAAUAAUAUUAAAAUAUUUGAUACGUAUAUCAGCAGAAUCAACGUUUAUAACGUUGUGUAAUAUUAUUUAUAUAUAUUUCAAAAAAAAAAAAAACUUAAACAAAUGAAAAAACAGUUGUUCUCAUCACUAUAUAAACCCUACAAUGCUCAGUAAACACAUCACACAUCAAACAUCAAAAAAUAGUAAUAGAUUCAUGUAUUCGACAAUGGCUCGCCCUACCCCAGUCUCAUCCUCAUCAAAAAUAUCCCAGCAAUCGAUGAGGAAUGAGCAUUGGAUGUUCGACGAUGCGAUGAAUGAGCGAAUUCGGUCGACUCAUGUCCCCGAUGGUCGUGUUGUUGAUGUUACACCAGUUCUUCUAGUCACUCGCAAUGUUUUGAGUCAUAUCAUUCCCAACAUUAAUCUUUCUAUGAAUGUAAACUUUGAUAAACUUAAGAUUUCAUGAUGUUUAUAUUCCAGGAAAUGGAAAGAUUUUCAAGACAAUGCUUUGGGUUUUUUUUUGUCUUGUAGGGACACAUCGAUGCAUCCGACGAUCAGACCAACUUGUCUGCCGUUGAUGGCGCACAUGAUGCAUUACACAAAAUCUGCUGCGAGGUUAUUCGGCUGUUUUAUUUUGCUUUGGGAAUCUCGAUCAUUUUUGAAACCGAAAAAUAACGAUCGUAACCUAAGUUGAUGUUUUGUAGCUAUCAUGCAUGUGUUCUAGAGGAGGUGAUGCUCAUGCAACAACAAUGGCGAUCUUCAACAUGCUUUCAAGCUAUUCAUGGGGUGCAAAAGUGGUGCUAACAUUAGCGGCUUUUGCAGUGAAUUUCGGGGAGUUUUGGCUGAUCGCUCAGCUUUGCACUUCCAACUCAUUGGCCAAAUCAGUGGCUCUCCUCAAGCAACCCGACAUUUUAGAGCACUCCCAAACACUGAAAUCCCACUUUGAUGCACUCAGCAAGCUCAUCAAUGCAAUGGUCGAUGUAACCAAGUGCAUUGUUGAGCUUACUGAGCUACCUUCUAAGUAUAUUUCCAUCGAUGAGCAGCCAUUUUCGACCGCCAUGGCUCAUAUCCACACUGCUACCUAUUGGAUCAUUUCGAGUGUCGUCGCUUGUACUAGGCAGAUUACAGGCCUUAUAGGGCUGAGACAUGAGUGAGUCAUGAAUUUUCUAUGUGCUCAAUCAGAUAAUAUGGCGACAUUCAAUUUACCAACAAUUAAAUCUUUCGUUUGAAUCAUUUUAGGUUCCCUAUAUCGACUUCGGAGGCAUGGGAGCUAUCAAGCUUGGCACAUAAAGUUAGCAGCAUACAUGAACACCUUCAAAGUCGAUUACGUCUUUGUUAUGCGCGUAUUGGUGAGUCCAUCCUUGACGACAAAUCUAGAAUUAUAAAUCCUAUAUAUAUACAUUUAUAAAAUAAGUUGAGUAUGAUUGUAAUGAGAUGCAGAUGAGAAGAAGCUAAUGGAAGCUUUUGAACACUUCAAGCGUACCAUUGAAACACCUCAAGUGGACAACUUGAUGGUUCUCCAAAACAUCUUUGGCAAGGAAAAGAAUCUCUUGAAUCCAGAUAGGGCCGAGGUCUGUUUAAUUCCAUGUUCCAAGUUUCAACCAUGUUUUAAAAUUCAUUGGAUCGUAUGUUAACGUUGCUGGUAUAAUUUAACAGGCUUAUAUCAAUGUCUUGAGAAGAAAGCAUGUUUUAUUGCUCAUUUCAGAUCUUGAUAUCUCCCAAGAGGAGAUUCGGGUUCUUGAAGAUGUUUACAAAGAAAGGGGAUCAUCUGGGCUUAACUAUGAGAUCAUAUGGCUCCCAAUUGUGGACAGAACAACUUGGAAUAAUGGUUAUCAGGAAAAGUUUUCGACCCUGCAAUCAAUUAUGUCGUGGUAUACUGUGAGCCACCAUGUUGCCAUUGAACCAGCAGUGAUUAAAUACAUAAGGGAAGAAUGGGGUUUCGUUAAGAAACCAAUUGCGGUGACAUUGAAUCCACAAGGAAAAGUUUUAAGCCCAAAUGCACUCAACAUGAUGUGGAUAUGGGGAAAUUCAGCUUUCCCGUUUAGCAGUGAAAAAGAAGAAAGCUUUUGGAAAGCUGAACCUUGGACACUUGACCUUCUCGUUGGUCGCGUUGAACCAAACUUACCUACUUGGGUACAUGAACAUCCCCACAUAACUUUAAUAUAUAUGUGUAUAUCAAUUAAUAUGCUUAAUUUCUUUUUGGUUUUGUGUUGUUAUAAUCAGGUGAGCCAACAGAAAGUGGUUUGUUUCUAUGGUGGUGUGAAAAUGGAAUGGAUCGAAAGUUUCACUACCGCAACAAAAGGGGUUGCAAACGCUCUCGAUAUUGGCAUAGAAAUGGUUUAUGUUGGAAAGAAAAAUGCAAGGGAACGAGUGAAAAAGAUUACUGGUUUAAUCAAAGAGAAGGAACUUAGCCAUGCUUGGGAAGAUGACAAUGUGUGGUUCUUUUGGAACCUAUUAGAGAGCAUGUUGUACUCGAAAACCCAACAUGGGAAGACCAUUGAAAACGAUGUUAUAAAUCAAGAAGUGAUGACGAUGCUUGGAUAUGACAGUAGUAAAAAUGGAUGGGCUGUGUUCUACACCGGAUCGGGUGAAAUGGUGAAAGCCAAUGGAGAGAAAGUGCUUAGCACCAUGGAGAGCUUUGGUCAAUGGGAAAAACUUGCCAAGCAAAUGGGUUUUAUCCCAGCACUUCGUAAGAAGUUGGAAGGGGUUAUCGACAACCAUCAUUGCACUCGCCUUAUCCUUCCGGGUAACGGUGGUAGAAUUCCGGAGAGGGUGCAAUGUGCUGAGUGUGGUCGUCCGAUGAAGUUGGAUUUCUUGUAUAGCUGCUUUGCAGACUGAGGUAAAGAAAGGGGAAAAAAGAUGGUUUUGUGGAGGUUUGUUUGGUAUUAUGAUAUGAUUAUCAUAUCUAGAGUCGACAUGUUUGCUACGUUUUCUAAUAAUGCUUAGGGCUCUUUUAAUAUCCCAUACUGCUAAUUUUAUCUGGUUGUUUGUGUUGCAUUCGUAGUUUGCGUUGUAAGACUACUUCCCUAAAUAAAGAGUUCAUUUAAGUUUAUGGCUUGGAUUUUUUUAAAUAAUGAGUUAAUUUUAUAGUAGAUCUCCAAAUUAUAUCUUUUAUUGUGAAUUAGUUACCAAACUUUAAAACAUACUAAUUACAAAGUUUGACUUUUCAGUCAUUUGGGGAACAGCAAACAACAAUAAAGAAACAUGCAAUAAAUAGAAAAGAAAGACAGAAACCAAAACAAAAUAAAAAAUUGCCUCUGAGCAGAGGAAAACGAAUCAUCAACAGAAGAAGUCUUUUCAUCUUCUCCUCCAGAGAGAAAUCAUCCAAACCUAGAACUUCGAUUGUCUUCCAACCAAGAGGUAGCAAGCAAUUGUGGAAUCAAGUCCCUUCAGGAAUCUGCUUACAUCUUAAUUUGCCACAACGUAAAUCUGAUAUUGCAAUCUAAUAGUGGAAUUGCAUACUUCAAAGACGUUAUUACUGUGAUCGAGAUGAAUAACUCGGAAGCUCUGAUACUAAUUUAUAAAAAUGGAACGUUGGUAAUAACAAUAUAUUGCAAAGAAAAGAGAAAUAAAAAUAAAAAUAAAAAUAAAGAACACACAGAUUUUUACGUGAAAACUCUUUCCGAAAAAAAUCACGAGUAGAGAAGAAAAAAAUUCACUAUGUUGAAUUCAAAUGAUUACAAGAGGAGUAGACUAUGUCUAUUUAUAGGCUUAUAAAACCAAAUUCUAAUAGAAGUGUAGUAAGAUUGAAAGACCUUCUAAUCAAUAUAAAAUAGAUGAAGUUGAGUAAGUUCUAUAUGGAUUUUACUUUUAUUUUAUUUUACCACUGUAUUUUAUUUAAAUAAGGAUUCGGGUCUCUUAAUUCUAACAGUUAACUUGCAACAAAUUUUUGGUUGGGAUCUAGGUAUUUUUAGAUUAAUAUAUCUUUAUAGCAUUUGAAUAUCUAUCUCUUAGUUUCGAAACGCAUUUUUAACCACUUGAUUUCAAGUUUGGAAACUCAAGUUAUGAUUGUUUUAGUGAAGACUAUGUGAGCAUAAUUUCUGUACAGGAUUAUUACGGAAAUUAAAAAUUUGAGCUUUUAACACAAUAUCCGCGAAAGAAUGUACUAUGAACAAGAAUACCGGAAAAACUUGCAUCGUUUAUCGUACGAUAUGUUCAUCGAUCGUAAAAUUUUUGGUGCUACUAAUUCAUUUCUUAUUAUAGAUGCAACUAUGUAAUGUUUGUACAAGCCCAUUUUUGCCCGGGCCCAUUAAAACCUAAUACCCAAAUUUAAUCCCAAUACCCACUAAACUAACCCAACUAUCUACCCAAACAACAAAAUAAGCCCAAAUGGCCCAAACCCAAACCCAUUAGUCAAACUAAGGUUUCAAAAAAGCUGAAACCCUAGCUUAUCUUCUGCCACAGCCGUCAUCUCUGCCACCCACCUCCACCUGCUCCAUUGCUCAACCACCUACAAGAGAAAAGGAGAACGGAUAGCAAGAAAUAAUAAUAAAACUUGUAAAAAAGAUGGCUAUAAAAAGCCAUUUGGAAAUCAUGUAAAUGGGGGGACAUUUUGAAUAAAAAAAAUCAGUGAUUCAAAGCAAAUAAUAACAAAUCAGGAGAAAAACAUCAAAUCAGAGGAACCCAAAAUACCAAAAAUCAAACCCGAAAACCUAAGGUGAUUUUAUUUUAUUUAUUUAUUUUUAUUUUCGAAUCUAUUUACUUGCAUGUAUACAUAUAUUGCAAACAUAUAAAAAAAUAAAAUAAUAUACCUUUUUGAAUUUCCGGCCACCGUGCGCGGCGGCCAGCGACGACUGGCGACGGCGGCGGACGAAGCUGGAGCUUGGCCGGAGGGAGAGGGCCUUAAGAGAGAAUAGAGAGUUUUUGAAGUUUUUUUUUAAAACAAAGGAAGAAUGAGUUUUUUUUUUAAUUUUUUGACUUAUAUAGCCCCCCCAAAAACGACGUCGUUUUGGGACUGGCCUUAAAUGCCCAAAACGACGUCGUUUUGACCUGGACCGAUCCGACCCGAUAAAUAAUAAGUAAUUUAAAUCCAUGAAUUACAAUGGUAUGUGUAAUGGCCAAUUUUGGCCCAGAUCAAUAAAACAAAAGAAACCCCAAACAAAUCAAAUUAAUUCCAAAAUAAAAAGUCCCAAAAUAAAUAAAGUCCAUUUUACAAAAACAAACAGCAGGCCCAAUUUCCACAUUGAAUGGCCCAAACCCAAAACCAAAUGGCCAUUACAUCAAACCCUAGCCCAAAUCCUAGCCCACUAUCCUAAAAUUUUUUCAGCAAACUAACCCUAGGGCUAGUCCCUAUUGCGGCCGCCGAUCCCACCUUUGGCCUCCCAUCGGCCGCACGCCACCACUCCAUGCGUCCCACGCCUCUCUGACACCUGCGACAAGGAGUAAAUGUGAAGACAGAGAGCAGUACACGGGCAGUAGAAGAAAUCAAGCAAAAAGGAAAAAAAUAUGAAAUGAAUAGUCACCUUAAUCGGCUAUAAGAGCUCGAUUUUUCUAUUUGUAUUUUUUACGCGCACAAGCAAAGUAAAUCACAAAAGAAAAACUAAGGUUAAAAGAUGUUUGUCGAUUCUUUCAUUCAUUUUAUUUUAUGUUUUAUUGUAUUUCUUUUCCUUGCAAAUAUGUUUUAACAAUAAACUAAUAAACAAAGAGAUAAACUUACCUGAGCAACCCCGCAUUCCUCCAUCACUGAGGGUGUUUCACCGGUGCAGAGGACCCCAAAACCUCUUAAGGUUUGGCCGUGGCUUUGACGGCUACAUCGGCUAGGCAAAGGGACCGAAGUGUCUUUUUAUUCGAUUUUUGUCGCGAACGAGAGGCUAGGCCUUUAGAUCCGGCCAAACAGAGGCUAAAAAGCUCGAUUUUUGCACCUUCGACCACCGCCUAUGGUGGCCGGUGCGAAGGUGAACUGUCGACACCAAUAACCAAAGGGAAGGGGGUUUUUGGAGAAAUAGACUAAGGGUUUUCAGUUUUUUUUUAAAAGAGGGCGGAAAU
rnacentral:lncRNA from 1 species